UACGUAGGGGGCUAGCGUUGUCCGGAUUUAUUGGGCGUAAAGAGCGUGUAGGCGGCCAGGUAGGUCUGCUGUGAAAACUCGAGGCUCAACCUCGAGACGUCGGCGGAAACCAUCUGGCUAGAGUCCGGAAGAGGAGAGUGGAAUUCCUGGUGUAGCGGUGAAAUGCGCAGAUAUCAGGAGGAACACCGGUGGCGAAGGCGGCUUGCUGGGCCAGUUCUGACGCUGAGGAGCGAAAGCGUGGGGAGCGAACAGG
rnacentral:rRNA from 1 species